UCUGGUUGAUCCUGCCAGUAGUCAUAUGCUUGUCUCAAAGAUUAAGCCAUGCAUGUCUAAGUAUAAAUAGUAUACAGUGAAACUGCGAAUGGCUCAUUAAAACAGUUAUAGUUUAUUUGAUAAUUGACAAUUACAUGGAUAACCGUGGUAAUUCUAGAGCUAAUACAUGCUUAAACGCCCGACUUUAUGGAAGGGUGGUAUUUAUUAGACUGAAGCCAAUAUUCCUUGUGUCUAUUGCGGCGAUUCAUAAUAACUGAUCGAAUCUCUUUUUGAGAUAAAUCAUUCAAGUUUCUGCCCUAUCAGCUUUCGAUGGUAGUGUAUUGGACUACCAUGGCAGUAACGGGUAACGAAGAAUUAGGGUUCGAUUUCGGAGAGGGAGCAUGAGAAACGGCUACCACAUCUAAGGAAGGCAGCAGGCGCGUAAAUUACCCAAUCCUGACUCAGGGAGGUAGUGACAAGAAAUAGCAAACCGGGAACCUCAUGGUUUCACGGUAUUGCAAUGAGAACAAUUUAAAACCCUUAGCGAGAUUCAAGUGGAGGACAAGUCUGGUGCCAGCACCCGCGGUAAUUCCAGCUCCACUAGCGUAUAUUAAAGUUGUUGCAGUUAAAAAGCUCGUAGUUGAACCUCUGUCUGGGGCUAGUUUUGGCUUUGGUCAGGCUAGUUCUAGGCAUCCGCCUACAAGACUUAGAGGGCAUUCAGUUGUUCACUAGGAGGAGUAGGCAUUUUACUUUGAAAAAAUUAGAGUGUUUAAGGCAGGCAAUCGCCCGCAUAUAUUAGCAUGGAAUAAUAGAAUAGGACACUUUUCCAUUUCGUUGGUUAUUGGAAUCGUGUAAUGAUUAAUAGGGACAGUUGUGGGCAUUUGUAUUUAAUUGUCAGAGGUGAAAUUCUUGGAUUUAUUAAAGACAAACUAACGCGAAAGCAUUUGCCAAGGAUGUUUUCAUUAAUCAAGAACGAAAGUUAGGGGAUCAAAGACGAUCAGAUACCGUCCUAGUCUUAACUAUAAACUAUUCCGACUCAAUGUUUGACUGGCUUAUAUAACCAGUUGAGCGUUGUAUGAGAAAUCAAAGUCUUUAGGUUCUGGGGGGAGUAUGGUUGCAAAGCUGAAACUUAAAGGAAUUGACGGAAGAGCACAACCAGGAGUGGAUUCUGCGGCUUAAUUUGACUCAACACGGGGAAACUUACCAGGUUAAAACAAUAGUGGGAUUGACAGUUUGAGAGCGCUUUCUUGAUUGGUUGGGUGGUGGUGCAUGGCCGUUCUUAGUUGGUGGAGUGAUUUGUCUGCUUAAUUGCGUUAACGAACGAGACCUUAACCUGCUUACUAGACUGGCGAUCAUCAAUCGUUAGCUCUUCUUAGAGGGACUUUGGUUGUUUUAACUCCAAGGCUG
rnacentral:rRNA from 1 species